rnacentral:rRNA from 1 species
UACGGAGGGUGCAAGCGUUAUCCGGAUUUACUGGGUUUAAAGGGUGCGUAGGGGGGUAGGUAAGUCAGUGGUGAAAUCUUCGAGCUUAACUCGGAAACUGCCAUUGAUACUAUUUAUCUUGAAUACUCUGGAGGUAAGCGGAAUAUGUCAUGUAGCGGUGAAAUGCUUAGAUAUGACAUAGAACACCAAUUGCGAAGGCAGCUUGCUACACUGUUAUUGACACUGAGGCACGAAAGCGUGGGGAUCAAACAGG